ACUGCUGAAAACCCAUCCUUGGCUGCCAGCAGGACCUGAAGCUGAGGUCACUUCUCUCUCUGGAAAGACUCUGAGGAUGGAAAAGUACAGCCAGCCCCCAGAGAUCAACUGAUUGUUCGUGCAAAGUCCCUUUUGGAAAACAGAACCCCUGACCGAGAUCUGGAGGACAGACUCCGGUUGCUGGCCAGGUCCCUGCGGCAGCUGUGAUGGGAUCAGAUUCCCAGGAAAGGAGGAGGCUGCCACAUUUGCAAAGGGAGCAAAGAGGACAGGCAGGCAGCCUCUGAAACCAGAGACAGACACAGAGAGAAACAGAGAGUGAGAAAAUGCUCCCCCGAAGACAUAGUGAGAUUAUUUUCUGUAAACCUGUAAGGGAAGACAAAGUUACACAGUGAAUCCACCUUCUGAAAAGCAACAGGCAGACAGGACUGAGGACCAUGCUCUUAAGGGGAGCCGUGAUGGAGCCGGGAGGAGAGGCGCAUCCUCAGCAGAGCUUCCCUCCCUUGCACACGAGCUGACGGCGUGAACGAGGGUGUCGGGGUUGGUGCAACUAUAGAAGGGAAAGGCUGGGCGGGGGUCACACAUACCUCAGUGGCAGGCAGGCAGGCGGCAGGCAGGGCGCGCUCUCCGGGCAGUCUGAAGGACUGCGGGAAUGUGGCGGGGUUUAGAGACAGGCAACAGGAAACCACUCAGAGCUCUGGGCUGGGUCUAUCUCCCCUCCACCCCGUGGUCCCUCCUCCUCCUGUCUCCUCCUUCCCCCGGCCUCCUCCUUCUCCCAUAGCCAAAGCUGUCUCUGUCUUUCAUUUCUUUCCUCCUCUUUUUGCGGUGGGCUGUCCUGACCAAACGUCCGAACCCUGCCUGCCUCAUCUGUUCCGGGGCUGCUGCCUAAACCGACUCACAGAGUGCCAGGGCUGGACAGGCCUGGAGGGAUGACCCAGAACAGCCUCUUUCUUGUUCAGAGGGCAAGUGAGGCCUGGAGACUGCAAGGAAUUACCCAAUGGCCCCCAGGGGCAGAACCAGGCCCAGGUGUCUUGAUCUUCUAACCAGUGAGCUUUACAGGAGUCCUCCCUAAUAUUAGGCAAUGCUGAGAAGGGCCAAGCAAUUCAAGGGGGUUGUAUUUGCCACAAAGGCAAGGCCAGGACUUACCACUGUACAGACAAGACAAGCUGCUACUAGUGGUAUCAUCCUUGAUGAUUUGGAACUGGUCUUAAAAAAAAAAAAAAUCCCACUCAAACUCCACUUGUACCACUGAUAGACACAUAAGGGAUUAGACAUCUAGCUGGUGGACCUGUGCCACCAGUAUUGAACAGAUAAGGUAAUUGAUGAUAUUGAUGAUAAUCAUAGGAGUAAUAAUAGCCAAAGUUUACUGAGGAUUUAAUAAUCUUCACAGCAACCCCUUAUCUUAGGCAUUGUAAUUAUGACCAUUUUAAUAAUAAGGAAACAUAGAUGCUAAGUAACUUGCCUAUGAUCACCUGGCAAAAAGUGGUAUGAGAGGGCUGAUUCUACGUUUCAACUUGGGUCACUCCUGUUGUAUAUGAACUGCUCAGUGCAACAGGUCUUGGUUGAAUGUUUAUUUCGUGCCUAACACUCUGGGAGGUAUGAGAAUUAAUAAAUACCUGGUCCUUGUCCUCAAAAA